CUUUCCCUCUUUCUUUAGGCCUAACACAUGCAAGUCGAACGGCAGCACAGUAAGAGCUUGCUCUUACGGGUGGCGAGUGGCGGACGGGUGAGGAAUACAUCGGAAUCUACUUUUUCGUGGGGGAUAACGUAGGGAAACUUACGCUAAUACCGCAUACGACCUACGGGUGAAAGCAGGGGAUCUUCGGACCUUGCGCGAUUGAAUGAGCCGAUGUCGGAUUAGCUAGUUGGCGGGGUAAAGGCCCACCAAGGCGACGAUCCGUAGCCGGUCUGAGAGGAUGAUCAGCCACACUGGAACUGAGACACGGUCCAGACUCCUACGGGAGGCAGCAGUGGGGAAUAUUGGACAAUGGGCGCAAGCCUGGUCCAGCCAUACCGCGUGGGUGAAGAAGGCCUUCGGGUUGUAAAGCCCUUUUGUUGGGAAAGAAAAGCAGCAGGUUAAUACCCCGCUGUUCUGACGGUACCCAAAGAAUAAGCACCGGCUAACUUCGUG
rnacentral:rRNA from 1 species